rnacentral:tRNA from 1 species
GCUGGGAUAGCUCAGCUGGUAGAGCAUCUCCAUGGUAAGGAGAAGGUCGCGGGUUCGAUUCCCGUUCCCAGCU